AUGUGGCAGGGUCUACAGACAACCACAGGAUUACCAAGGGAAGACCAGUCUACAGACAACCACGGAUUACCAAGGGAAGACCAGUCUACAGACAACCACGGAUUACCAAGGGAAGACCAGUCUACAGACAACCACGGAUUACCAAGGGAAGACCAGUCUACAGACAACCACGGAUUACCAAGGGAAGACCAGUCUACAGACAAUCACAGAUUACCAAGGGAAGACCAGUCUACAGACAACCACGGAUUACCAAGGGAAGACCAGUCUACAGACAAUCACGGAUUACCAAGGGAAAACCAGUCUACAGACAAUCAUGGAUUACAAAGGGAAGACCAGUCUACAGACAAUCACAGAUUACCAAGGGAAGACCAGUCUACAGACAACCACGGAUUACCAAGGGAAGACCAGUCUACAGACAAUCACAGAUUACCAAGGGAAAACCAGUCUACAGACAACCACGGAUUACCAAGAGAAGACCAGUCUACAGACAAUCACAGAUUACCAAGGGAAGACCAGUCUACAGACAAUCACAGAUUACCAAGGGAAGACCAGUCUACAGACAACCACGGAUUACCAAGGGAAGACCAGUCUACAGACAAUCACAGAUUACCAAGGGAAAACCAGUCUACAGACAACCACGGAUUACCAAGAGAAGACCAGUCUACAGACAAUCACAGAUUACCAAGGGAAGACCAGUCAACAGACAAUCACAGAUUACCAAGGGAAAACCAGUCUACAGACAACCACGGAUUACCAAGGGAAGACCAGUCUACAGACAAUCACGGAUUACCAAGGGAAAACCAGUCUACAUUCAACGGCUCAGACACAAGAGGUAUGUGGCAGGGUCUACAGACAACCACAGAUUACCAAGGGAAGACCAGUCUACAGACAACCACGGAUUACCAAGGGAAGACCAAUCUACAGACAAUCACAGAUUACAAAGGGAAGACCAGUCUACAGACAAUCACGGAUUACAAAGGGAAGACCAGUCUAAAGACAAUCACAGAUUACCAAGGGAAGACCAGUCUACAGACAACCACAGAUUACAAAGGGAAGACCAGUCUACAGACAAUCACGGAUUACAAAGGGAAGACCAGUCUACAGACAAUCACGGAUUACAAAGGGAAGACCAGUCACAUCACGGACACCGACGUCUUGCUUUGA
rnacentral:lncRNA from 1 species